UACGAAGGGUGCAAACGUUGCUCGGAAUUAUUGGGCGUAAAGCGCACGUAGGCGGCUUGGCAAGUCGGAUGUGAAAUCCCUCGGCUCAACCAAGGAAGUGCAUCCGAAACUGCCGAGCUUGAGUACUUAAGAGGAUCGCGGAAUUCCCGGUGUAGAGGUGAAAUUCGUAGAUAUCGGGAGGAACACCAGUGGCGAAGGCGACUACCUGGCCUGUUCUUGACGCUGAGGCGCGAAAGCUAGGGGAGCAAACAGG
rnacentral:rRNA from 1 species